GUGUGUGUGUGUGUGUGUGUGUGUGUGUGUGUGUGUGUGUGUGUGUGUGUGUGUGUGUGUGUGUGUGUGUGUGUGUGUGUGUGUGUGUCUCUGUGUGUGUGUGUGUGUGUGUGUGUCUCUGUGUGUGUGUGUGUGUGUGUCUGUGUGUGUGUGUGUGUGUGUGUGUCUGGGUGUGUGUCUGUCUCUCUGUGUGUGUGUGCGGUGGUGCGUGAGGGCUCUAGGACAGGGCUUCCUGGACCUUACAGCUGGGUGUGUCCGCCGGCCUCUGCUCUGACGGCCCCAGGCUCUCCUCCGUCUCCGUGCCGGGGUCCGUCACGUCUGCUCCCUGAAAGGCACGGCGUUCUACAUCAGACUAGAGGGGGCGGCGGGGGGCGAUGAGAGCAUUAAGGUUCCCACACAGACACACCCUCCGCCAACAGCCUCUGAACCCCAGUGACUCACUUUGGCACAGAAAACACAAAGUCGAAAGGGGAAGACAUACGGUAAGAGCUUCACACACUGAGGGCGGCGUGGAACCCCAGCAAUAGAAGCUACACAACUAGUGACCUCUUAAUCAUCGACAAGAUUCUUAGCAAUGAAUAAAUAGGAACACAUUUCCUAGGUUUAGCAAGAUUCAGAUUUAAAAUGUGAAAGGCCACAAACAAGAGCUGUUGACUGACGGUGGACGGUACACAAACCCUCUGUUGCAUAAUAAUAAUAACCAUUUGUUCUAAACUUCAACCGCUUAAACAAAUGUUUU
ensembl:lncRNA